rnacentral:rRNA from 1 species
UACGGAGGAUCCGAGCGUUAUCCGGAUUUAUUGGGUUUAAAGGGAGCGUAGGUGGAUUGUUAAGUCAGUUGUGAAAGUUUGCGGCUCAACUGUAAAAUUGCAGUUGAAACUGGCAGUCUUGAGUACAGUAGAGGUGGGCGGAAUUCGUGGUGUAGCGGUGAAAUGCUUAGAUAUCACGAAGAACUCCGAUUGCGAAGGCAGCUCACUGGACUGCAACUGACACUGAGGCUCGAAAGUGUGGGUAUCAAACAGG